CAGCAGCAGCGCCUUGGAGAACUGGUCGUAGAAGUAGCUGUUAUCAGCCGCCAUCAACUUCACAAACUGGGCGGUGGACGGGUAGGAGACCAGCUGCUGGUCCACCUUGAGCAGCCCCUUGUGGUGUAGCAGGUUCUUGUAGUACACGUUGUCGAUGAUCAUCGGCGUCUCCCGGUCGUUCCUCGAGUACAGCACCGCCUCCGGGUCCGGGUUCGGAGACGGGCAUCGGCCGAGCAGGUACUUGGCGUACUCGGGGUCGAUGGUCGGGUCGACGGUGGGGUAGAGUCGUCCCACGAGGUUGACACAGUGCACUCGGCCGACGGAGUGAGCUCCUGCGACGACCAAGAGGAACGACGUGAAGACAUCUCAAGGGACGAAGAUCAGCGAGGCCGUGAAGCUGUCGCACCUAAAAGAGCCACUGUUCGUUCUGCAUCGAUUCCUAUGGAUCUGAACCGAGAGAGCACGAGGGAGAUGGAGUCGUUGUGGUUGGGGAUGUCCUUGUCUAUCACGUCGGCGUGGCUUUCCUUGCUAUCUCGUCUGCCGGUCCUCAUCGGAAUGAAUGGUCCUCCCAGCUAUCGGCAUUGACCGGAGAAAGCAUCAGUAGUAGAAGAGAUCGACGACGGCGACCUCAGCAAAGCAUGCAGGAAAGAUAUUUAGGACGAAACAGGCGUACCAUGACGACACCUUCUCUUGCAGAGAGAGCGAUGAUAUCUGCACAGGAGACGGUGGCGGGGCAUUCCUUCUCGAGCGCCUCCUUGAUGGGGGCGACGUACUUAAAGUUCCUCAUCCCGAAGCUCCGGUCGGCCGACUGCUCCGAGAUCAA
rnacentral:lncRNA from 1 species